AAUCAACGCUGGCGGCGUGCCUAACACAUGCAAGUCGAACGAGAAAGUGGGGGGCAACCCUGCGAGUACAGUGGCAGACGGGUGAGUAACACGUGAACAACCUACCCUCGAGUGGGGAAUAACACCGCGAAAGCGGUGCUAAUACCGCAUAAUAUCGCUGGGACACAUGUCCUGGUGAUCAAAGGCGAAAGUCGCUUGGGGAGGGGUUCGCGCCUGAUUAGCUAGUUGGUGAGGUAACGGCCCACCAAGGCGACGAUCAGUAGCCGGCCUGAGAGGGCGAACGGCCACACUGGAACUGGGACACGGUCCAGACUCCUACGGGAGGCUG
rnacentral:rRNA from 1 species